GGAACAAUAAUCUUCAUGGAAGAUAACAGGCAUGAAACACAUGAGGAAGGGGGAGAAUGCAUGGCUCUUCUCUGCAUAAAGUAGAGAACAUCUCCAAUAUGCCUGUUCUGCUGGCCCAGAGGAGAAUGCUCAGCACAGAUAUCAAUGUGAUUUACAAAGGAAGAUAGAUAUUAUCCCCAGCUCACAAGGGAGGAAACUGAAGCACAGACAGGUGCUGUACAAACACAUGGAAAAUGACAGCCCCUGUCCCGAAGACCUUACAGUCUGUGCAAAUAGGUAA